rnacentral:rRNA from 1 species
AUUGAACGCUGGCGGCCGGCCUAACACAUGCAAGUCGAACGAGUGGCGGACGGGUGAGUAAUGUCUGGGAACCUGCCUGAUGGAGGGGGAUAACUACUGGAAACGGUAGCUAAUACCGCAUACCAUCGGAUGUGCCCAGAUGGGAUUAGCUAGUAGGUGGGGUAAAGGCUCACCUAGGGGACGAUCCCUAGCUGGUCUGAGAGGAUGACCAGCGCAACUGGAACUGAGACACGGUCCAGAGUCCCACGCGAGGCAGCAGUGGGGAAGAUUGCAAAAGGGGCGAAAGCCUGAUGAAGCCAUGCCGCGUGUAUGAAGAGGGCCUUCGGGUUGUAAAGUAAUUUCAGCGGGGAGGCGGUACCCGCAGAAGAAGCACCGGCUAACUCCGUGCCAGCAGCCGCGGUAAUAC